AUUUUAUUAAAUAUAAUCUUGAUUUUUUUGGGUUUAUGUGCCUUUUGCAUCAUGCUAUAUGGAUUAUGUGUAACUAAGGUUAUAUACCGAAAAGUUUAGAUUUAAUACCAAGUUAGAUAAGAGUUGAAAGUAUGAGUAAUAUAUUUAAACUUGGUGUUAGUUGUGAUAAAUAAGUCGUUAAACUUUAUAUCUGUUUGAAGGAGAGUAUAUUAUUUAAUUUAUUUGGUGAUGAGAUCAAGUAAACGAAUAUAGCUAGAAUAGGUAUAAAUAAUGUUAGGGUUAAAAUUACCUCUAAAUUAAGUGUAUGUUAAAAUCUCUAUUUAUUACUUACAACUAGCUUAUUAUUAAUUUCCUUUUAAGCUAAACUAAAUGAAGCUAAGUAUCAUAUAAUAAGUAAUUUUAUUAGUCUCUUUGUUUUUCAUUUACAUCCCGUCUGUUUAUUAAAAACAUUUCCACAUUACUAAUUUUAUGUGGUAGGACCUGCUCUAUGUGUUAUAAAUGGCCGCAGUAUCUUGACUGUGCGAAGGUAGCAUAAUUAAUUGCCCUUUAAAUGGGGGCUUGUUUGAAUGGUUUGACGAGGUUGUUUUUAACAUGGAGAUUUUUGUUGAAAUUGAUGAUGUGAAUACAGAAUUUACAUUAUUUAAUUAGACGGAAAGACCCUAGGAUCUUUGUAAAGUUUGCUUGGGGCAAGUAAAAAUGUUUUAUUUGUUUUUUGACCCUUUUAUAAGUUUAUAGGUUUAAGUUACCCUAGGGAUAACAGAGUGAUAGUUUAUUAGAGUUCUUAUCGAUUAAACUGUUUGCUACCUCGAUGUUGACUUGGGUUAAUGUUCUGGCGCAGUAGUUAGAAGUUUUGGUCUGUUCGACCACGAGUACCCCCAUGAGUUGAGUUAAGACCGGCGUAAGCCAGGUCGGUUCUUAUCUAUUAUUCUAACUUGUUA
rnacentral:rRNA from 1 species